GACAGCGGCGAACGGCUGAGUAACGCGUGAGCAACCUGUCCUCUGGUGGGGUAAAACCUCGAGAAAUUGAGGCUAAUACCGCACGAGUUCCCCAGGCCCUGGCUUGGGGAGGAAAGUCCCGAGCAAUCGGGAUGCCAGAGGAGGGGCUCGCGUCCUAUCAGGUAGUUGGUGGGGUAACGGCCUACCAAGCCGAUGACGGGUAGCUGGUCUGAGAGGAUGGCCAGCCAGAGGGGGACUGAGACACGGCCCCCACUCCUACGGGAGGCAGCAGCAGGGAAUCUUGGGCAAUGGGCGAAAGCCUGACCCAGCGACGCCGCGUGGGGGAAGAAGGCCCUCGGGUCGUAAACCCCUUUUCCGGGGGAAGAGUAAGGACGGUACCCCGGGAAUAAGCCCCGGCUAACUACGUGCCAGCAGCCGCGGUAACACGUAGGGGGCAAGCGUUACCCGGAUUUACUGGGCGUAAAGGGCGCGUAGGCGGCUUGGCAAGUCCUCUGUGAAAGCUCCCGGCUUAACUGGGAGAGGUCAGGGGAAACUGUCAGACUAGAGGGCAGCAGAGGAGAGUAGAAUUCCCGGUGUAGCGGUGACAUGCGUAGAUAUCGGGAGGA
rnacentral:rRNA from 1 species